UACGGAGGGAUCUAGCGUUAUUCGGAAUAACUGGGCGUAAAGCGAGCGUAGGCGGAUUUGUAAGUUGGAGGUGAAAUCCCAGGGCUUAACCCUGGAACUGCCUUCAAAACUACAUUUCUUGAGUUUGGUAGAGGAGAGUGGAAUUCCUAGUGUAGAGGUGAAAUUCGUAGAUAUUAGGAGGAACACCAGUGGCGAAGGCGACUCUCUGGGCCAAUACUGACGCUGAGGUUCGAAAGCGUGGGGAGCGAAC
rnacentral:rRNA from 1 species